rnacentral:piRNA from 1 species
UGAGGAACAUAGAUGCUAGUUGUUCAUGGG